CAUCAAACUGAAUGAUAUCACAAUGCAUAUUUUGAACAUGCCUUCCUGAUGCCUGUCUUGGACCCAGGACGAGCGCACUCGGGCUCCCCUCCCUAAUCUCCGUGAACUCCAGGAGGCCACUUCGCCUGGCUCAGUGGAGCCCUUCCCUGGAGCCAGCUGUGCAUCAUUUUAAGACCCAGUAAGGACCAAAGGCUUGAGAACCACAACCAGAUGUUUUCUUCUCAGCAUUUGAAGGCCUGCCUGAAGUCUCAGUUCCUCAAGGACUGAUCCUAAGCUCUGUUCUGGUUACCGAACACCCACUGACCACAAAUAUGGAAGGACCCUGAUUGCAAUGGGUACCAUGUGAAAGGGGAAAUAAAUCAAUACAAAUGAUAAAACCCAUUGGACAUACAUCCUAGUUUGUAGUGUGUGUGAAUAUUCUAGGUGGUGAGACUGAGCCAACAUUGAGACGAAACAACUUUUUAAAAUCACUGCAUGAUAUU
rnacentral:lncRNA from 1 species